rnacentral:rRNA from 1 species
UACGUAGGGUGCAAGCGUUGUCCGGAAUUAUUGGGCGUAAAGAGCGUGUAGGCGGCCCGAUUAGUCCGCUGUGAAAGUCCAGGGCUCAACCCUGGAAUGCCGGUGGAUACUGUCUGGCUAGAGUCCGGAAGGGGCGAGUGGAAUUCCUGGUGUAGCGGUGAAAUGCGCAGAUAUCAGGAGGAACACCAAUGGCGAAGGCAGCUCGCUGGGACGUGACUGACGCUGAGACGCGAAAGCGUGGGGAGCAAACAGG